AUUGAACGCUGGCGGCAGGCCUAACACAUGCAAGUCGAGCGGGGUUUUCGGACCUAGCGGCGGACGGGUGAGUAAUGCGUAGGAAGCUGCCCGAUAGAGGGGGAUACCAGUUGGAAACGACUGUUAAUACCGCAUAAUGUCUACGGACCAAAGUGUGGGACCUUCGGGCCACAUGCUAUCGGAUGCGCCUACGUGGGAUUAGCUAGUUGGUGAGGUAAUGGCUCACCAAGGCGACGAUCUUUAGCUGGUUUGAGAGGAUGAUCAGCCACACUUGAACUGAGGCACGGUCCAGACUCCUACGGGAGGCAGCAUUGGGGAAUAUUGGACAAUGGGCGCAAGCCUGAUCCAGCCAUGCCGGGUGUGUGAAGUAGGCCUUCGGGUUGUAAAGCACUUUCAGCGAGGAGGAAGGGUGGUGUGUUAAUAGCACAUCAUUUUGACGUUACUCGCAGAAGAAGCACCGGCUAACUCUGUGCCAGCAGCCGCAGUAACAC
rnacentral:rRNA from 1 species